rnacentral:rRNA from 1 species
UACGUAGGGUCCGAGCGUUGUCCGGAAUUAUUGGGCGUAAAGGGCUCGUAGGCGGUCCGUCACGUCGGGAGUGAAAACUCAGGGCUCAACCCUGAGCGUGCUUCCGAUACGGGCGGACUAGAGGUAUGCAGGGGGAGAACGGAAUUCCUGGUGUAGCGGUGGAAUGCGCAGAUAUCAGGAGGAACACCGGUGGCGAAGGCGGGUCUCUGGGCCGAUACUGACGCUGAGGAGCGAAAGCGUGGGGAGCGAACAGG